rnacentral:rRNA from 1 species
UAAUACGGAGGAUGCGAGCGUUAUCCGGAUUUAUUGGGUUUAAAGGGUGCGUAGGCGGAAUGGUAAGUCAGUGGUGAAAUGGUGCAGCUCAACUGUAGCAUUGCCAUUGAUACUGUCAUUCUUGAGUACAGAUGAGGUAGGCGGAAUGUGGUGUGUAGCGGUGAAAUGCUUAGAUAUACCACAGAACACCGAUUGCGAAGGCAGCUUACUAAGCUGACACUGACGCUGAAGCACGAAAGCGUGGGUAUCAAACAGGAUUAGAUACCCUGGUAGUCCACGCUGUAAACGAUGAUUACUGGUUGUUUGCGAUAGAUAGCAAGUGACUGAGCGAAAGCAUU